UGAACUGCAUAAUCUGCAGUCGAGCGACAGACAAGGAGCUUGCUCCUUUGACGUUAGCGGCGGACGGGUGAGUAACACGUGGGUAACCUACCUAUAAGACUGGGAUAACUUCGGGAAACCGGAGCUAAUACCGGAUAAUAUUUCGAACCGCAUGGUUCGAUAGUGAAAGAUGGUUUUGCUAUCACUUAUAGAUGGACCCGCGCCGUAUUAGCUAGUUGGUAAGGUAACGGCUUACCAAGGCGACGAUACGUAGCCGACCUGAGAGGGUGAUCGGCCACACUGGAACUGAGACACGGUCCAGACUCCUACGGGAGGCAGCAGUAGGGAAUCUUCCGCAAUGGGCGAAAGCCUGACGGAGCAACGCCGCGUGAGUGAUGAAGGUCUUCGGAUCGUAAAACUCUGUUAUUAGGGAAGAACAUACGUGUAAGUAACUAUGCACGUCUUGACGGUACCUAAUCAGAAAGCCACGGCUAACUACGUGCCAGCAGCCGCGGUAAUACGUAGGUGGCAAGCGUUAUCCGGAAUUAUUGGGCGUAAAGCG
rnacentral:rRNA from 1 species